AUGUUGAAAGCAAGAAGGUUUCAAUACCUUUUCGAUGUGGGAUGAGUAGUGUAUUACAAUGAGAGGAAAAAUACACAAACCACAUUGACUAAAUAAAUGAAGAAUAUUGUAAACAUAUAGAAGGAGCCAAGGUUAUGAGCAACAAUAAUUAAUUGGUUGUAGGCCCAGCUUCCCUUGUAACACCCAUGAGUGCUUUGUUAGAAUUUCUUUUCUUUUUGUGCUUUACUUUGCUACCACAUUGAUAAGAAAAAUGAAACUUGAUAGAUAUAUAUAGGAAAGGAGCAUGGCCUUUACCAACAACUUAAGCUAUUUACAUACUGCCUAGUUGGUACUAGCUCUAGUGUCAUCUUUAUGUAAAGAAUUUUAUUUUCAAUAUUUCAUUUUCUUUCUAUUGGACUUGGUACCACAUCGAGAAAGCUUGAGAAAUUCUCCCACUUUCCUUGUAUAAAUACACCAAGCUAGUUGGCUUUCCUAAUUAGGAAACUGAAGGCUUUUAAUUUGUAAGUCCUCGUAUUUUAUUCUUAUUUAUUUAUAUUUAUUAUUUGUUUACUAUUAUUAUUAUUUUAUUUAAUUGUAAUUAGUUAGUAAGGCUUUUUAUUAGUAGAAAUUUUGGUUUUGAGAUUUAAUAAAAUAAAAAAAUUGUUAAUUGCAAAUUGUGAUUUAUAUUGUUAGGAAGGGUUAAUAGUACCGAGGUUCGAGAUCGAGAAAGAAUUUAAAUUUAGAAGCGAUUUAAGGUAAGUAUAUACUGUACUUAUUCGCUGUUGAUGUUUAAUAUUUAAAUGAUGUUUUACUGAUGAAAAACGAGUAUUCUUGCAUUGAUACUUGAUGAACUGAUGAUGAUGCUUCCUUAUUGGAAGUAGAGCUAAACCGAUUGUUUAGCUGGCCGGGAUCCCAACUUGAUGAAUUGAUGAACUAAUCAUGCUUGAAUACUCGGUUUUAAUCUUGUGAGAACUAUUUUGCUGUGAUGAACCUUUGAUGAUAUUGAUAAAUUCUUGAUGAUUAUUUUAUCAAAAGAUUGUUUUAGUUCUUGGAUAAACCUCAGUUGAAUCGUACAAUAUAUGCUCACUGAGCUUUAUAGCUCACUCUUUUAUGUCACUAACUUUCUCAGGAAAGAAUUUUGGAGAAGGAUGUUCUGGAAAGGAUAAGAAUGUGAUGAACUAAGGUUUUAGUGGCAACAAGAGGCUUGUAGAGGAAGAUGUUAAUAUAAUAUGCUUGUGUUUGUGUUUAAGUUAGGAGCUUAUGAUGUAAUCUUUAGUUACAAACUUGAAGACGUUGUAAGAACUUUAUAUUAUGAAGUGU
rnacentral:lncRNA from 1 species